rnacentral:rRNA from 1 species
GAUGAACGCUGGCGGCGUGCCUAAUACAUGCAAGUCGAGCGAACAGACGAGGAGCUUGCUCCUCUGACGUUAGCGGCGGACGGGUGAGUAACACGUGGAUAACCUACCUAUAAGACUGGGAUAACUUCGGGAAACCGGAGCUAAUACCGGAUAGUAUAUUGAACCGCAUGGUUCAAUAGUGAAAGACGGUUUUGCUGUCACUUAUAGAUGGAUCCGCGCCGCAUUAGCUAGUUGGUAAGGUAACGGCUUACCAAGGCAACGAUGCGUAGCCGACCUGAGAGGGUGAUCGGCCACACUGGAACUGAGACACGGUCCAGACUCCUACGGGAGGCAGCAGUAGGGAAUCUUCCGCAAUGGGCGAAAGCCUGACGGAGCAACGCCGCGUGAGUGAUGAAGAUCUUCGGAUCGUAAAACUCUGUUAUUAGGGAAGAACAAAUGUGUAAGUAACUAUGCACGUCUUGACGGUACCUAAUCAGAAAGCCACGGCUAACUACGUG